rnacentral:rRNA from 1 species
AACGAACGCUGGCGGCAUGCCUAACACAUGCAAGUCGAACGAGAUCUUCGGGUCUAGUGGCGCACGGGUGCGUAACGCGUGGGAAUCUGCCCUUUGGUUCGGAAUAACAGUCGGAAACGACUGCUAAUACCGGAUGAUGACGAGAGUCCAAAGAUUUAUCGCCAGAGGAUGAGCCCGCGUAGGAUUAGCUAGUUGGUGUGGUAAAGGCGCACCAAGGCGACGAUCCUUAGCUGGUCUGAGAGGAUGAUCAGCCACACUGGGACUGAGACACGGCCCAGACUCCUACGGGAGGCAGCAGUGGGGAAUAUUGGACAAUGGCGAAAGCCUGAUCCAGCAAUGCCGCGUGAGUGAUGAAGGCCUUAGGGUUGUAAAGCUCUUUUACCCGGGAUGAUAAUGACAGUACCGGGAGAAUAGGCUCCGGCUAACUCCGUGCCAGCAGCCGCCGCCG